ensembl:lncRNA
GUGCCAUAUUCUACGCCCUUCUGGCUGCUGUAAAGAAACACGAAAAGGCAGCAGCUAUCCGGCAUUUUGGCUAAACUCAAAGACGUUCAUAAGAUGACUGGAGAGCAAAGGACUGCACUACUGUUUUGACUUUCAUGUGUGCAUGUCCCAGUAGCUCUGAUGUAACGUGAAGACUCUUUUAAAGCAAAGAAACAGAUGAAUAAAAUACUAGCAUUUUACUCAGCAAAACUGAAGUGGAUGGUUUGUGGAUGGUUUGUAGCAGUUAGCAGGCCAGACUAUUUGUCAUUAAAAAAAAAUACUCCAAAAGGCACCAUGAGCACAAACACAGUUGAGAGGUUCAGUUCAGCCACAGUGUAUUAGUGGAAGCCAAAGAGUUCAUCAAAGAGGACAUGCACCCAAACUUUAAGCCUCAGCAAAACUGAAGCAGUUUAGUUCUGAGAAAGAGCUCAGUUAUCAUAGACAGAAACUAUCCAUGUUUAAAGUUGGACAUUUUAACAUGGGACACCCAUGAUUCCCAGCCUCAAGUGGCCACUACUGGAACUGCAUCUUUCAGCACCUCAGUGCUGCUUUUCUUUUCCAGCCCCAGAUGAUGUAGCUUUGUGUACCUAUCUACACCCUAAUUACAAACAUUGGUAAAAAAAAAAAAAAGAAAAGGAAAAAAAAAGUUUUCUUAAGUUUCUAACUUUGGCUUGAUUCAUGGCUUCCUCUUCAUUGGUCCAUACAUGAUGUAAGUAUGUAUUCUAGUUGUCAACUAGAAAGUGCAUUUUCUGAAGAAACUGCAGUGUGAAUGCUUGAAUCUGAAUGUAUGCAUUGAAAUGAAUUAAUUGCUGAAUUUUAAGUUAAAAAGUUUGAAUGAGAAAAAAAGAAAAAGAAUUUAAUCUGAAAACAAAAGUGCUGAAGUGCUAAAAGCUGACGUUUACACAGAAGAAGAAGUUGGAAAAAAGCUGAAAAUGUUUUAAUUGUAAAUUAGAAAAACGUUAGAAAUGAGAAAAGAAAAUUUAGAGUCAGAAAACCUCUG